GUUUCAUGAUCGUGGGAGCUGCGUAAGCAGCGGUUGUCCGUCUGUUGCGUCUGAAUCUGAUGCAAGGCCUGAGGUCAGCAGGGCUAGCACUUGUUAAGGAAAGAUGGACACGGUUUGAGAGAAAGUAAAGACAAAAUAGAACCCAUGAGAAUAAACUGAAACCUACAUCUGUCUUUAGAACACACAUUGGUCUCUAGUCACCUCCAGGGCUUCAACUUGGAUGAUGCAAGUGACCUGCAGAAAAGCGUGCGCAAUCCGUCAUGGAACCAAAUAGGAACUGAGCUCAGGACUUUACGAAACUGAAGGAAGACGUCCGCAGGAGCUACAGGAGCUGCGGGUCCAGCAGCUGACCCUCGCCAGCAAUGUGGGCCAGCAUAUCAGCAACUGCAUAUAUAAGCUGCAAAAUUAUCCCCCCCACGUUGACCUGUGUAAGAGCAUAUGCUUACUGCGUGAGUUCCACAAGGUGUUUUGUAACUCAGAAAAUCUCAGUCAGGAACUACUAAUCAAAUGCCAGUCCAGCAUUUUUGAAGCAUUUGUGCUACAUGUGGUGCAAUUACCAAAUGGUUGAAAGGAUUCAUUGAGUUGACUCAUCACCUUUCCAGUGGUUGCAGUAUGAUGUUGCUGAGAAAUCCUUGCUUGUGACUGCAUACAUCCUCACACCGAGUCAGAUGGGAAGAACCAACAAUUUAUGCUGUGCAGAAAAGACCUCUAGAGAAAAGUGAUCAACAGGAAAUAACACAAUAAUUUGCCUUUGAAUUCUCAAAGUAAAAUCUAUUUAUCUUCUCCAUGUGGAACGGCCUACUCUCAGCAUCUUUGCAUUCAGCUGUGUUGAGUUGGGGAGGAGAAAACUAGCAGGAAAAUUUGUGAGCAUAUCCUUUUUCAUUAAAAUGACACAUCUUAGGAAAAUGUUCCCAAGUUCUGUGCAAUUAAUUGGACUUCCUAGGAUUUUGAGUAGGAAAUUUUGACUCCUAUAUAUUAACUUUAAGAAGUUAUGUUUUCUGCAAUAACUGGAU
rnacentral:lncRNA from 1 species